rnacentral:rRNA from 1 species
GUGCCAGCAGCCGCGGUAAUACAGAGGGUGCAAGCGUUAAUCGGAAUUACUGGGCGUAAAGCGCACGUAGGCGGCUAUAUAAGUCGGAUGUGAAAUCCCCGGGCUUAACCUGGGAACCGCAUUCGAGACUGCAUAGCUAGAGUACUGGAGAGGACAGCGGAAUUCCCGGUGUAGCGGUGAAAUGCGUAGAUAUCGGGAGGAACAUCAGUGGCGAAGGCGGCUGUCUGGCCAAGUACUGACGCUCAGGUGCGAAAGCGUGGGGAGCAAACAGGAUUAGAAACCCCCGUAGUCC